CUUCAGCUUCCCACAGAAAGAAGAGGUGUCCAUAUUUAAAGCAGGGUUGGCUGGACAGACUAGGAGCUCAUUCUUCACAGGCUUAAGUUGCUGGUGGUGUUCCUUCAUCCAGGCCGAGAUCUCUGCCAAACAGGCCGAGAUUCGAGCAGUCACUAUGGUGUCGUUGGGCUGGAAAGACAAGGAGAGCUGUGUGUCAUCAGCGAAGCAGUGUGAGCAUGGGGAGAGCGGCAUAUAACCAGCCACGCCACCAGCAGCAGAGUGAGAGAGUCUGGCACAAGAAAGGCCAUGGUGUACCCGAAGCUGAAGCAGUUUAAUCUGUUAUGUGUGUGAAGCUGAUGUGUUGAGGUUAUUACAUUCCUGUGAAGCUGAUGUGUUUGUUUGACUACCUGCUGUGAAUCUGACAAGUUUGUGAACUUGAAAAACCUUGAAGUGGCCGAUUAAAA